rnacentral:rRNA from 1 species
CAGCCGCCGCGGUAACACGGAGGGUGCAAGCGUUAAUCGGAAUUACUGGGCGUAAAGCGCACGCAGGCGGUCUGACAAGUCAGAUGUGAAAUCCCCGGGCUUAACCUGGGAACUGCAUUUGAAACUGACAGGCUGGAGUCUUGUAGAGGGGGGUAGAAUUCCAGGUGUAGCGGUGAAAUGCGUAGAGAUCUGGAGGAAUACCGGUGGCGAAGGCGGCCCCCUGGACAAAGACUGACGCUCAGGUGCGAAAGCGUGGGGAGCAAACAGGAUUAGAUACCCGUGUAGUCCCUGUCUCUUAUAC